UACGGGGGAGCAAGCGUUGUUCGGAUUUACUGGGCGUAAAGGGCGCGUAGGCGGCGCAACAAGUCACUUGUGAAAUCUCCGGGCUUAACCCGGAGCGGCCAAGUGAUACUGUCGUGCUAGAGUGCGGAAGGGGCUACUGGAAUUCUCGGUGUAGCGGUGAAUGCGUAGAUAUCGGGAGGAACACCGAUGGCGAACGGCAGCACUCGUGGGCCGGU
rnacentral:rRNA from 1 species